AUGGAUGACAAUAUGUCGCUGCUUUCCUCCUCUCCACAACUGCUCCUCCUGCAUGUGCAAAGGAGGCUUCACGGUUGAUGCUCCCUGGGCCGUCAUCCCCUCCAUAGUGGGCUGCCCUAGGCACUAGGAUGUGAUGGUGGGUAUAGGUCAGAAGGACUCCUACGUGGGCGAUGAGGCCCAGAGCAAGGGAGGCAUCCCAACCCUGAAGUACCCCAUUGAACACUGUACUGUCACCAACCAGGACGAUAUGGAGAAGAUCUGGCACCACACCUUCUACAAUAAGCUGUGUGUGGCCCCUGAAGAGCAUCCUGUGCUGCUCACCAAGGUCCCUGAACCCUCAGGCCAACCAUGAGACUCUUAACACCCCAGCCACGUACGUAGCCAUCCAGGCUGUGCUGUCUCUGUAUGCCUCUGGUCCUACUACUGGCAUUGUGAUGGACUCUGGAGACAGGGUCACCCACACUGUGCCUAUCUAUGACGGCUACGCUUUCCCUCAUGCCAUCCUGUGUCUGGACCUGGCUGUUCUGGACCUGAAAGACUACCUCAUGAAGAUCCUGACCGAGUGUGCCUACAGCUUUACCACCACAGCUGAGAGGGAAAUUGUGUGCGACAUCAAAGAGAAGCCGUGCUAUGUUGCCCUUGAUUUCAAGCAGGAGAUGACCACUGCCGCAUCCUCUUCCUCCCUGGAAAGAGCUGAGUUGCCUGACUUCCAGGUCAUCACUAUUGGCAAUGAGCAGUUCUGCUGCCCCGAGGCUCUUUUCCAGCCUUCCUUCUUGGGCGUGGAAUCCUGUGGCAUCCAUGAAACUACAUUCAGUUCCAUCAUGAAGUGUGAUGUUGACAUCCAUAAAGACCUCUAUGACAGCAGAGUGUUAUCUGGUGGUACCACCAUGCUAUGUACCCAGGCAUUGCUGACCUGAUGCAGNAGGAGAUCUCUACUCUGGCUCCUAGCACCAUGAAGUUCAAGAUCAUUGCUCCUCCUGAGCGCAAGUACUCUGUGUGGAUCGGUGGCUCCAUCCUGGCCUCACUGACCACCUUCCAGCAGAUGUGGAUCGGCAAGCAGGAGUAUGAUGAGUCCAGCCCUCCAUCAUGCACUGCAAAUGCUUCUAG